rnacentral:RNase_P_RNA from 1 species
GAGGAGGCGCAGGCGGUUGCAGAUUGGUCAGUUCGCUGGCUAAGUCUGAGGAAAGUCCGGGCUCCCAAAAGAUCGAACUUGCUAGGUAACGCCUAGUGCGGGCGACCGUGAGGAGAGUGCCACAGAAACAUACCGCCGAUGGUGUUUGGGUCUGAGCCGCAAAUACACAGGUAAGGGUGCAAGGGUGCGGUAAGAGCGCACCAGCAAUGUCGUGAGGCAUUGGCUCGGUAAACCCCGGUUGGGAGCAAGGUUGUAGGAGUCAUGGUUGAUCUUUUUCCGGCUCCGGGCAGGGUGUGGGCAACCCAUUCUGCGAAAUCCGCUAGAGGUGUCUGGUGACAGGCAUCCCAGAUAGAUAACUGCCCUUCUGGUGAUCGUCUAAAUGGCAGCAUCAGAAGAACAGAACCCGGCUUAUGUCCGCCUCUUCCCUU